GUGAAUCAUCGAAUUUUUGAACGCAAAUUGCACUCUCCUCGGAGAGUGUGCCUGUUUGAGGGUCAGCCUAUAAAAAAUCGACAUCGUUGCUGUUUCGCGGUGACGUUCGUCUGAAUUUGGGUCAUCUUAAUUCUUUUUGGUUUAAGGCGACUUAAAUUUUUUUUUUUGGUUCCUUGAAGGUUUUUAAGAUUUAUUUUUUUCAGCUUUUAGGGUUAUGGAUUUUUAUUGAACGUGACAUUAAUUUCGGA
rnacentral:misc_RNA from 1 species